GGUAUUCUUUACCGCAAAGCGUCACUCUGGCUGUCUUUGAGUGGACUCCUGACUAUCUUUAUAUUAAGACAGGCUUCUGUUGAAUCUUUAUGAGCAGCAACGUAAAUACAAUGGCCGCCGUAUUUAUAUUAUGUUGUUGAAACACCACCAAUAAUACAUGAAAUUGCUGUGCUGUGCUUUUCCCCACUCAGCUACUUUCUAAUAUUAUUAUGCUAGAUAGGUUUGACUGUUGGUUACUAUUACUUUCUGCCGAUAUUGAUAUCUAUAUAUAUAUAAAAUUUGUAAUAGUGUAUAAGGGUAGGUCAAACAACACAGAUAUUAUUCAGGUUCUGGUAAUUAUGUGUAAUAUUUAAUUACAUGUGUGGCAAUUUAUUACAUCGGCGCCUAUUGCUGCACAAGGGCCUAACCCACUUAACACAAAUGAGUAUUAGACACAACACAAAACAUAGGUUAAUAUGACAAGUUAAUUCAUAUCUCGGUAAAUUGGUAAGGAAAAUUAACAUACGUUGAAACUUUAUUAAUUGCAAAAAUUUUAAAUAAAAUUUAUUAUCAAUAAAUUACUGAACUGGGUUGUGGAAUGACUAUCAUGUUCGUUAAUCAUCUGGAUAUUUACGUCGCACACAUGAUUACGAUACAACAGUUCAUUUAGGUCCAUUCAAAAAUACGUAAUAUUAUGUUGCACUUUUGCGUGAUCAACGAGUUAGCAAUCCACAAAAUCAAGUAUUUAAAUAACAAUUUCAGUUCGUUGUAGAGUUCGCGUACCUAGGCUUUAGCUCAGUUUUACGAUCGGUAGAACACAAAACUAUCUCUCUCGUUUCACCUCUGGGUUAAAUUGAUAAAUUAGAUAGUUUCCAAUUACAAUAAUCUUUACUGUUUUUGGUUAUUUAAAGUCUUUUAAAAUGUUGAUAAUAUAAUUUAAACUCAAUGUUCUUUCAAUUAGUACGUCGCUAUAACAACUUUAGUAUGGCGCUGUUUCACAUGGUAUGGAGGGUUUUUACUUACAUAAACUAAUCACUCCUGGGUACAUAUUCGUCAGAAUAUGCCCUAACAAACUAGUAAACAUUUAACAACACGACGAAAAAAACUCAUCCUUUGUUGCGGAUGGUCUGAAAUAGCUAAUAUCUUUUUUUCUUUUGAAUUUUUGACAGGCUCCGCGCCCUUGCAUCUCACUGGGACACCAUCUCUUACAUAACUCUUUCUCAAAUAGAAACGUUCUAGACGCCUUCUACUUGAAACAUGGCCUCUGAUUGGCCGGGGCGGAAUGCUGUUAACGAAAUUUACAGAAUCACAUCUUGUAAACAAAAGGUAUUAACAAAGUUGCAAACACAAAACUGAAUUAAAUUUAAAAACAGAAUUUCCAACAAUGCCACAUCCUUCGUAUAUGACACGUAUAAUAACACAGUUUAUACGUUUUGUUCAAUUGGUCCUUAGAGGGGUAUAUCUAAUUGCCGGUCCAUAUAUGUCUUCCCCACUACAUAGAGCAUAUCUCUCAUAGAUAUACCUAAUUAAUAGGAAUAUAUAUUUAAUAACUUUUGCGGGCGAACAAUAUACAAAUUAAAUAAUAAAAUUUCAUAAUAAUAAUAACAGUCAAUAUAAGUUUUUAUAAAUAAUAGUAUCAUUAAAAUAAGUCAUAACUUUCUGUGCAUUCUGAAAAUAGUAACAGCACAUUGCUGUUAAUUAAUUGUGUACAUUUAAUUUUUUUCCAGUGAAGUGUGUACCUAUACAUAAUAAAAUGGCAGCGAUAUUGAGACGGUUGGACUUAAUUGACGACAUUGAGAGACAAGAGGGGCGUCAAAAGAUUAAGCUGCUGCGACGGGGGAUUCGGGACGUCCUAAAUCCAUUCACAGAAAUGGAAGAAGAACAAUUCAGGGUCACUUACAGGUUACCUCCUGUCUUAGCACUAGAACUAACACAGAUUUUGAAGCUGCAUUUAAGAAGGCCGAUGCGAAUAACGUGCAUUUCGGAGGAAAUAAAAGUACUCAUUGCUCUUCGAUUUUAUGCAAGUGGCUCGUACCAGAAGUGUGUUGGUGAUAGCGUGCUGACGUGUGUAAGCCAACCCUCAGUUAGUCGAGCCAUCCGAAAUGUCACAAGGGCAAUCAAUACUACCAUGUUGAACAACUGGGUUUACUUCCCAGAAAAUGAAAACGAGUUGCAACUGAACAAACAAAGGUUAGUAUUGUUUCAUAACAAAUCUUUUGUUUUGGUUUUUCCUAACUUUAAUAGCAGUAGUUUUGUUGAAACUGUAACAUUUAUUGGAACAUGUAGCUUAAUUUAAAAAUUUCAUACUUUAAUCUUUUACUAACCUGUCUUUACUCUGUGUGUGUGUGUGUGUCCGUAUGUGUGUGUGUACAAAUAGCACACGGACUUGGCACUAAAAUAAUGAAAUACAACAUGAAAAGCUGGUUUACGAGUUAGGUAAAAAUCCCCCCCCCCCCCACUUCCCCCUUCCAAAAGAAUUGCUAGUGCAUUGUACAAAAGGUUAUUAUAGUGGUAGUCUGUUGGAUACACAUAAUACUUAAGUUUGUUGAGAGGAAAAUAGUGACAUUUGUUUUCCAAAACAGAAUCUUUAGUGAUAGAUAACAUAACAGUUUCUAAUUCCAGCGAUCAUUUUAAUAUAACUGAAAUAGUAGUUUUUACUUAUGUAUCUCUGGAUAAGAAAGGCCUAUGUCCUUAGUUACACAGGGCCGAGCUUAAAAUAUUAGUGACUUGAGCUUGCGCCAAAGAGUAUUUGUGUUAAUAGUGUUAUUAUUGUGUAAAUCUUUCAUUUAUUUUUGUGGUGUUUUUGAAUUGUCUUUUUUAAUGUAGUCAAAUUUAAUAUGAUAAGCCACUGCACACUCAUUGUAAUUGCUUAGGUUCAUGGAUACAACAGGCUUUCCAGGUGUAAUGGGAGCAGUGGACUGCACACAUGUUCUCAUUAUUUCUCCAACUGGCGAUGAGGAAGCAGUAUACGUGGACAGGAAACACAACCACUCCCUUAAUGUUCAGCUUAUCUGCAAUUACGACAUGCUUGUCAUGGAUGUCAACGCCAGAUAUCCUGGCAGUACACACGAUGCAGCUAUCUGGAGGCUGUGCAAUGUGAAGAGGACUUUGAUGAGGCGCUACAGAAAUGGAGACACCAAUUCAUGGAUACUGGGUGAUUCUGGAUAUCCACUUUAACCGUGGUUACUGACACCAAUUCUUCAUGCUCCAGAUGGAACGCCAGAAGCAAGAUACACGACGGUCAUUGUAGUGCUCGAUGUGCAAUAGAGAGAUGUAACGGGUUGCUCAAAAGUAGAUUUCGAUGUUUAUCGAAAGCUAGGCAAUUGAAUUAUGCACCACACACUGCAGCGCUAAUAGUCAAUGCAUGUGUGGUACUGCACAACUUUUGUGUUAGAAACAAAUUGCCUCUGUAUCUCACUGUUGGUGAACAACCAGUGCCAGACAUCGAAGGGAUUUACCAGGAUCAAUAUGAGGCAGAUCAUGAGAUUGAUAUUCAAAAUGAUGGACGACAGACAGUUGAUCUCCUUAUCAGGAGAUAUUUUCAGUAAUUUAUUAAGUUAGCAAAACUAUAUAAGUAAAGAUAUUUUUCAAUAAUGUGAUUCUUAAUGUACUUGCUAAACAAUCCUGGGGGUCAAAAUUUUCCAUAUUACCAUUUUUAAUAAAAAAAAAAACGGUUAUGUAAUGUUUUGUGUGCUAUGUACACAUUGAAUACAAAAUGUUGCAAUCAAAUUUUGAAGGAAUGUUCAAUACUUUGCUAAUUGUUUUAGUAUAGGCAGUUUUCAUUGUAGAUAAAAUAGAUACAAUACUUACCAACUUUUACAAUCUCUAGAAUAAAAAGUAUGUACAGAAGUUUGGGCUUGUGUACACUUUUAAAAACAAGGUUUAAUUUACUACUUUUUAUAAUGUAAUGGAAGUUGUUACGGCAGCAGAUUGUACAUUUCUCAUUUACCAUGUGUUUACGUGAGGCAUGUACAAUUUUUAGGUACAAAUAUAAAUCAAUUGUGAUACGUGAUUCUGCGAUUGUUCUAUGUAUGUGUGUAUCUUUCAAAUACCAACCUGUGAGUACUCAUCUUUGGUAUAUCCUGAUAGACUACUUGCAUGUGUAUUUAAAUGAAUUAUCAUUGUAUGUGUUCUACAUUCCGUUAAAAUAAUGCACACAGUUCAAUUUGGAUGCCAGUAGCAUACUAUGCAGACUGUUCCUUCGAACAUCUGUUGCAUAGUACUUUUGAUAAAUACUGAUAGAAAUACGACAAUAUACCUUUAAUAAAGUACAUACAUGCAUCAAAGUGACUAAAUUGAUAAACGUUUAUAAAGAAUUAUUUUUAUUACCGUAUUGGCUCACAUGUAAGGGGACCCCAAAUAUGUGAACUGCAGUUUCUGUAGGCCAAACAAAUACAAAAAAAAUUGUUUGUAAUAAUUGUGGAUGUGUAACAUAAGAUAGGGUGAGUAGAAAACGGUCUGUCUGAAGAAUUGUUAUAUGUAAAAUGUUUGGCAUAGAUAGAUAUACUUCUUUAUGACAUUUACCAGUAUUAUUUUAAGCUAAUUUCAUCAAAGUACUUUUAGUUGACUAUUCUUUGAGUAGAAUGUUUCUAUUCAUCCCGUUUUACAGUAGUAGACAUACCUUUUGUGGUAAUAAAUAUUUUCUGUAUUUACUGAUGUGCAGCAAUUAAGGUAGGCCUACAUACAUUACUUGUUACUAGAAAACCAAUUUAAAUGACUCCCACUAGCCUUGAACCCAGGCCUCAGAAUAGCUCGAUUUACUUAAAAAAAAAAUUGGCAAAGUUUAAUACAGUAUUUGAUGGAUUAAGUGCAUUUCAUACUUACGAAGGGAAUCAAAAUUUAAUUUUUUAGUAAGAAAGAAACUAGACCUCUUUGCAUAUUCUGCUAUAGCUGGACAUUUCAAUACUCACAGAGUUAACUAACCACAUACCAUGAAAAAUCACAAAAUAUUUUGCAGAGGAAGUUUUAAAAUUUCAAAGUUGAAGGUAUAAAAGAGAAUGAUCAAGCAUUUAUAACAUUUGGCCGUAAUGUCCAAUGCAAAGCCUCACAAUGAUUCCUGCUUAACUGUAAGUCAACUAUGUUGACAAAUGAACUAUUUACAUGUGUAUUAAAUAUUUGCAUGCCAGUAUUGUAAGGAAAAUAUCAAGAACUGCAACAUUUAGGCAGUGUUUGCUUUUUCAUAAUUGGGUAUAUAAAUUCAUAACAUACAAGAAAAUUAGUCCAAAGCCAUGGGUUAAUGAUGGUAAAUGCCUUACAAGCUAUUAAUACACCUGUGUAUUAUGUAGGAAAUGUAUGUAUUGCAUAUUACAGUAUAGGUAGGUGUAUGUCACAACCAAGUUUUGAGAUCCAUGAAAAAAACUUGAAUAAUUAGAUAUAUGGUGUUGGCAGCACUUAUUACCAUUACUCAUGUAAAUUCACCACGUAUAUUUUAAUGAUGUCUAAAGUUUGGUGUUACUUGCCACGAUAUUAGGUUUUCCAAUUGUUAAUGCUUCACUAAGAAAAAUAUUCAUUUUGCCAUUAUUGCAGAAAUUGUGUGUACCUACAGCUACAGGACACGUCAACAUUUAAUUUUGGCACAAUCACAUAAGCAAAUUUUAUGAGCUCAACUAUCUGAAGCAACUUUUUUGCUUAUACUGUAGUGUGAAGUAUAUAUAAUUCAUCAUCUAACUAUAAAUGUGAUAUUAUUCCUCACAUUAUGAAAAAUUAACAAACCUAAUAAUGCAAGUCAAUGCUGAACACUUAAUGUAUGUGGUAAUACCAAUACUGCAUUACUUGCUAUUCAUUUCUUAUGUUGUAGGCAGCACAAAGGAAUGUCUGAAGCAAAGUAUAAAAGAAAACCAACCAUACUGGAGUGUUAAUUUUAUUAAAUAAAAUUAUGAGUAUAAACUUUCUUGCAAGGCAAGUUUCUUUUCUGCAACUUCUGCCCUGCGAAGUUGGGCAUCAGCAAUCUUCUCCUGUGCUGCUGCCAACCUUUCUAAAGCAACUCUCAUUUGUCUUCUCUCUUCCAGGUUUGCCUUUUCAAGAUUAACUAUUUCCUCCCUAGCCAAAUCAAAUCUGAUGCAGAUUCAUACAUUGUUUUCUUGUCCUUUUGUUUACCUGAAAUGUUAUUUUGUUUAUUAAACCACAAAACAUUACAACUAUAAAACAAAUAAUUUGAAAAACAUUUAUUCCCAAGUUGUUACAUCAACAAUGUCCUUAAUUUCUUUCGAGAGAAGUUAGUGCUUCACAGCAAGGUUUUCAGCAGUAAUGGCUGACAUGAUAGGAUUCAGUAACAAAAGAUUGGUGAGCUGAGAGAUGAAUAAGAAAAUUAUGAUUCAGCAAAAUCUUGAAUACCAAAAUAAUCACCAAUGCAGUACUAAUACACUAGAACCCAGAUUUUGUGGAUCCGGACAGGUGAGUAAAUAAUAUUCGUAAAACAAAAUUAAUACCAACUAAUUUUGACAAUUCUGCCAGACAAAAAAAAAUUGCAAAAAAAAUUGAAGUUCUUUUCAUUUAUAAAAAAGUAUAAAGUUUCAUGUUUAUAAUAAAGAACACUCAUGCAAUAUUCAUGAUAUUCUUACAUCACAAAAAUUACUGUGGUGAAAGAUUUCUUUCACCUCUGCCUAUACAGUUCUGCAGCAGUGAUCAUCUGUGUUGUAGGUGAAAAAAAUUAAACAUCGUUACCGUUAUUCAAUGUGCAUUCCUUACAGACAAAAUUACGUACUAUAAUUAUAGGUUUAUAUGAUGUCUUCUUGCCUAAAUACAUUUUACGUACGCUUUUUGUGACAUGCAAAAAGUUGUACAAAAUAUUACAACAGUGCUUUCUAUCUGUCACAGUAUGAUAUAGAGUAAACUUCUUCACAGUACUCCAGUAUUUAUUCUUUUAAGGAGGGGGUACAUAAAUGGGGGUUUACCAAACACGUCAAGGAGCACACAUUUCAUUUACUGACUGGUUAAAAGCACAAAAUGCAAAUUCUGACAUAACUUGAAACCUGACUAAGAAAGUACCACUGUUAAAAACCAUGCUAGAGUGGGAUAAUACAUUUCAUGAACAAUUUCACAGAUUACUUUCUUUCUCAAUAUGUUUAUCAAAAUGGGUACACAUUUACACUAAAACUGUUGUCUUCAACAAUUACAUAUUAAAAAUUUAUGAUUUUGGAACUUUGUGAGGCAGUGGUAUUUUAAAUGCUAAGUGAUAAAUCAUAUACUGUAUCUACUGUAACCAAAUUUAUUAUGAUGAAUUCAAAUUUUGGACAAUAAAAACAAGUUUUAUCAAUUUUGAGGUCUGUCUCAGAGUUCGUGUCAAAUAUGACUGCAGAAAAAUAGUUCCACGACUGAAGAUAGUGCAGCUAAAUAUGUAUUGACUGUUUACAAAUAAAAUUAAAACAUGUCCAAGCAUAAAAUUAUGAUUGUUUGGACUUGUAUAUAGUGUUUGUGAAAUCGAAUUUGAACUUUCCUGCGCUACGUCCUGCAGCUUCCAGGGACAGAGUGACUGUGAUCGUUCGACCAUCAUGCACCAGGAAGACCCCUUAAUCAUACAGCUGUUGAAACACAAGACAAAACUUACCUACCAGAAACAUGCUUAGACCUUGUCGUCUGAGAUGUGGAUGACUCAAGUGUUUCCAACUGACGCGAUUCAUCUUCUACAGGACGAGACACACCAGAAGACAAACAAUCUGUAUCAUUGUCCAAUACAUCCAUUUGUAGAGGGUCCUCCAUGGAUACAUGUUCGUAACUGAACUGUGGUAAUUCCGCACAAAGACGAUGGCACGAAACAAAGUUUUCCACCAGAAAUUUAAUUGAAAUUUGUACACAAUAUAUAUAUAUACUUAACAAUAUAACCUUCUGAAUCCUAUUGAAGUUAGUUUAAUACAAAAUCUUGAGAAAUAACACAAAUCUUGUUCUUCAACCUUAUAUUAAGUACUAUCACAUUAACUGCACAAUAUGGCUGGCAAAGAAGAAACUAUAAAUUAACAAUACGGUGCAUAACUUUAAGGUUGUAAAUAUCUGACGUACUGCCAAGUACAGUGCAUUUAGGUUAAUGUUACGAAUUACAUCAUGCAACUGUCAGUGGCAGAAUAACUAUCAACAUUUACAUAUUUUAUACAUUAUUCACAAUGCUAGACAAAAAUAAAUUCCUUACAAACAAAAGCCUGAAACAUUGCCCUGUUAUGAAUUUUAAAAUCAGCCAUCCCCCUUGGAUAUGAGAAAAUUUUAAUUGGGUGCCUUGUAAAAUUUUGAUGAAAAUAUCAAGUGUUAGUUCAAAUGAUGUAAUGGAACAUCACUGCAAUUCGAAAUGCAUACUUAUAAACAUUUAACUAUUAUAUUAACCAAUGCACUUACAUAAUAUAAUGUAGUUUCAUAUUACACUACAGUAAACCAUAUACAGCACAGACGUGGCUAUAUCUCAAUGCUUCAUUAAUUUGUACUUACAUCACCAGAAGCAGGAACACCACUGAUUCCAUCCACACACUCCUUGCCAAUAAGUUCCAGGAGCUGCUCUUCCUGUGGGUUUAGGAUUUCUUUCAAAGGACCUCCCCCUCCUGUGCCCAUAGCAUGUGCCUUAAUAUUCCUGGCCUUCUUUUUUGUUGCAGCUUUCCACAGUGUCCAUGACUGAAAUGUGCAGAAACCUAACUAUAUAUAUAUUUUACUAAUAAUUUUAUAAAAUUUUAUAUUGUGAUCAUUAUAAUAUUUAUUAUUAAAAUUUACUACUGAUUUGACCAUUUUUAACCAUAUUUUGUAAUUUAAAUUGGUUUAUUACAAUUUUAUGUUUAUUAUCUAUAAUGUAGAUUUGUAAUUUGUUUGUUAAAAUGAUUAGUAAUUGUUGAUUGUAUGUAAUCUUUUGAUAAUACUACUUGACAAAU